AUACACCAUAGCCAAGGAGUCAUUGUUUUCAAUCAACACAAACUGCAAAAACACCUGGCUGGCAUCCCAGGCACAGACUAUCCUUGUUGGAUACUUGAACAAGCAAACAAGCCGCUGCACAACUGCUUCUCUAUCCUGUUGAUCACAGAUGCGUUCAAUACAGUCCACGUAAGAAAUCUCAAAGACUUGUUGAAUUUUAUACUCACAAUGCUUGGAGAGAAGGCCUCUGUAAGGAAUGUUAUCUUUACCAUGGAUAACAUCCCAGGAUGUAGAAGAGGCACAGGAGCUGUGAAGAUAUCUACCAAACAGUUCCUGACAUGGGACUGGUAAAACCAGAAGACAGGUCAUGGAGAAGCAUUAGUAGCAGGGAUUAUUCGAAGCCAAUUGCAAGAUGAAGGAGAAAGAAGAGCUAACAAAUGAGAAAGGAUGGAAACAAGCUCACAGGAGAGGAGGCAACAGAGCUGUGGUUUUUGUUUUUGUUUUUUUCUGAAGCAUAUGAUUCACAAUGUGUCUGAGAUUUCAAAACUUCUUUCUAACAAAGAUGAACAAGGACCCUCUAGAACAUCUCUACAACCGUCAGAUUAAGUUCUGUUUCUGGAAUAUCCUGUCCUGUUGAAUUUACUGUAGUGGAGAAACAACUAGCUUAAAAUGUUGAAUUCAUUACAAGGAAAAUGAAAAUCUAACCUUUUUGUAAGAUUUCUCACCUGUAAUCUCUGGAGUCUUCAUAAUAUCUCCAGGUAGCUAAACUAGGUGCUUCAGCUUUCUGUUGUAUUGUAAAUUGUUUUCUUUGUCUUCUCAUAGUACAACAGUUUGAAAGAGAUGAGACCAAGUGCCUGAGACACAUGAACACGAAUCACCACGUGCCUCCCUCAUUGACAUUUCCGUAUCACUGGAAGCAAACUUCAGCUUUUCAAGAUAUUGUUGGAGACACUACUUUAAUGUUUUUAGUCUCUUAGCACCUUUGUGGACAGUCCCAGUAGCAUUCCCAUUUUAUGACUCUGGAUUCUGUUCACAUAUAAGCAGGAAAACAGUUACCGAUGAAAGAAUAUUCAGGAAGUCUUUAAAAAUUUAACUCCAAUACAGUUUAAGUCCUCACAGACUUCGACAAAAGUUGAAGUUUCCCAUCUGAAUAUGCUUUGCUUUUUAUGCAAAUUAACAUUUUUUGAAAUAUUCAUAUUAAUACUAGCAAAAGUAAUUUUAACUACAGAUAUACCUCCAUAGUUCUGUGAAAAUGCCAGUCUACUUAGAAGUGGUUUUGGUAGAUUAAACCACUAAUUCUUCCAAUACAUUGAAACUAAUCUUAAAUGGGAGGGGGGUUAGGCAACACCAA
rnacentral:lncRNA from 1 species